rnacentral:rRNA from 1 species
UAACAGCUCAAGUGUGAAAUCUGGCUCUUCCGGAGUCAGAGUUGUAAUUUGUAGAAGAUGCUGUGGGUUGUGGGUUCGGCCUAAGUUCCUUGGAACAGGACCUCAUAGAGGGUGAGAAUCCCGUAUGUGGCCGAGGCCCGCGCCUAGGUAAAGCUCUUUCAACGAGUCGAGUUGUAUGGGAAUGCAGCUCAAAAUGGGUGGUAAAUGUCAUCUAAAGCUAAAUAUGGGCCAGAGACCGAUAGCGCACAAGUAGAGUGAUCGAAAGAUGAAGAGCACUGUGGACCGAGAGAUAAACAGUAGGUGAAAUUGUUGAAAGGGAAGCGCUUGCAACCAGACUUGGGCGCUGUCGAUCACCCCGAGUUGUCUCGAGUGCACUCGACAGCGCACCGGCCAGCAUCGGUUCGGGUGGCUGGAUAAAGGCCGUAGGAACGUGGCUCCCUGCGGGGAGUGUUAUAGCCUACGGUGCCAUGCAGCCCAGCCGGACCGAGGACCGCGCCUUCGGGCUAGGAUGCUGGCGUAAUGGUUGUAAGCGACCCG